rnacentral:rRNA from 1 species
AUUGAACGCUGGCGGCAGGCCUAACACAUGCAAGUCGAGCGGAUGAAGGGAGCUUGCUCCUGGAUUCAGCGGCGGACGGGUGAGUAAUGCCUAGGAAUCUGCCUGGUAGUGGGGGAUAACGUCCGGAAACGGGCGCUAAUACCGCAUACGUCCUGAGGGAGCAAGUGGGGGAUCUUCGGACCUCACGCUAUCAGAUGAGCCUAGGUCGGAUUAGCUAGUUGGUGGGGUAAAGGCCUACCAAGGCGACGAUCCGUAACUGGUCUGAGAGGAUGAUCAGUCACACUGGAACUGAGACACGGUCCAGACUCCUACGGGAGGCAGCAGUGGGGAAUGUUGGACAAUAGGCGAAAACCUGAUCCAGCCAUGCCGCGUGUGUGAAGAAGGUCUUCGGAUUGUAAAGCACUUUAAGUUGGGAGGAAGGGCAGUAAGUUAAUACCUUGCUGUUUUGACGUUACCAACAGAAUAAGCACCGGCUAACUUCGUG